UGUAUUUAUGCAUUUAUUUAUGUAUUUAUGUAUUUAUAACACUUCUUUUUAAAAAGUCCUUCUUUAGACACUAAUUUUUCAUUCUCCAUUAUGUCGAUCUCUGAAAAACUCCAAAGAAGAAAGAACAGAAGGUUGAAUAGACCGUGUUCAGUAGGCAACCUUUAUGAUUGGAUUGUAUGUGUCAGCACACGAGUGUGUUCCCACACACACACACGACCACAGCCACACCAUGGAGAGAUUUUAGUCAAGAGAAAGGAAAUCGCUGAGUGCCCAUCAGCCUGUCUAGCAGUGCAUCCACUCAGGGUCUCAUCCCCAGGUCUCUCAAGUGAUGCCAAACUGGGGGAGAAGGACAGGAAUCGUCUAUCCAUCACGUGGUGAAGAAAAGAGCCAAACACCUGCUCCUUGGGUGUUUCUCUUUCCUUGGGCCGAUGGCAUCCAUACCUAGUUUUAUCAGCCAAGCAGAAUCACAGAAAGGGGGAAGCUUGUCUGGAGUUCUUGGAGACAUUUUAGUUUGCUGAAGUUAAUUUCUGGAGGUGGGCGUGUUUCAGGGGCUGAGGAAGCUGUGCUGCUGCAUUGAGAACCACAAGACAUGUCAAGGGACUGUAAUUAAUUUUUAGAAGCAAGAUGCCCUAAGCAGAAAGCAACCCACUAUCCACACGGGGUCAUGUGGGUAAAUAAAUUGUGGUUGUUGAUAAAGUGAAACGGGUAGACUUUGCCCCCGACUGUUCAUUUCAGCUAUAGGUCGUCACGUUAUCAGACAAGUCUCCGUAUUAGUGCUAAGAGGUUUGAUACCAGACUUUAUCUGUGUAAUUAAAAAUGAAGUGAUAAUGAAAGGGUCCCCCACUGCUUUACAAAACAGUGCAGAGGCCCUUUGAUUCCUGUGGUAAUGACAUGACAGAUAUGCCGCAAGAAUUCUCACAGCUGUCCCGGCCCAGUGGACAGCUGUUCCGCUUAGAAUUCCAACCACAGACAGAGAGAAAGCAGGAUGUUGGGCAACACGGUGGCCCCGGCCCAGGAGGAGAGAAGGCCGAGACUAGUACGUCCCCACCUCGGCCACCAGCUUAGACAUGGGACUGUGUGAACUCUGCUUCCCGUAGAGCGAACCUCUGCUAGCACACCCGUGGGGAGACCUGCACCUCGGGUUAGCGGUUCUUGCUCGUCAGCAAGGUAGUCAACCUUUUCCCCUUAACCUUUAAUAUUUGAUAAAAAAAUAAUUUUUUACGUGAACAUACACGGUGAACCAGAUCAAUACAACAAAUCCUGGUGAGGCCAGUCUUCAAUUUACAGAAGAGAACCUACAACUCCAUAGACGCCCUUCGUGCAGCCCCCAAUCCCGGCCCGCUGCCCGCUCCCCACCACCACUCUGCAGUUUUGCACUACUUUCCUUUUUCUUUUUGUCUUUUUAUGAAUACAUGUCGGUCCCUAAAUAAUAGCUUGUACUUAAUUUUGCUUGUUUUCACUUGAUUCUAGGAUAGAACAUGCUUGGGGUUUUCCUUUUUUCCUCCUGCCUUUCAGGUUAUUCCCUCUUAAUUCCUUUGUUCUUCCAGUCUUCCAAAUCUCGGGGUGCCCCAGGACACCCUCCUUAGGCCUCUUUCUCUCUCAACUAAUGGGCUAUGACCCAGGAUGAUGAUUAUAGACAGGUUCGUGGUUUUCAGUGCCACCUGCAAACCUGUCUUCUGAACUGACCUCCUACAUCCAACGGCAUACUCAAUGUACUCACUUGAAUAAGCACCUCAAAAUUAACUCAUCCAAACCUGAGCCUUUGCUAGCCUCCUCCCCAAUUUUUUUCUUCUCCGUAACAAAUGGAAACUCUGUUAUCUCUUUAAAUAUUGCCUGUCUCUUUAAUUUUUCCUUCUGCAAGAUUUGAUAGAUUGGAAAAGUCUCAUACUAUGUCCCACGUGUCUUAAACCUCUCAGGCUUCCACACGGAAAUUAUCCAUACAAAAGAAGAAAGACUAUUUUUUUUUAAACUUCCUUUUUACUUUACUCAGAUCUACUUUUCAGUUUACAAAUUCUUCCCUUAGCUGAAUACCACUACUAUGCAAGCCUUCCAUUUUGAUUUCAAUUAUUACAUUUUUCAUUUCUAAAAAUUCUAUUUAGUUCUUUUAAAAUAUGUCUUUUGAUAGUUUCUUUUUUCUUAUAUAUGUUUUAAAUAACUUUUUAAUAUCUUUGAAUAUAUCAAAACUUUAUUUUGUAUCAGGGAUUUGAAAAUAUAAUAUUGAAGCCUUUGAGGAUGUAGGUCUGUUGUCUCUUUUUCCUGUUGACUUGCACUAGUGCUGGCUUAUUUCCUGUUGUUCUCUGUGAUUUUUAGAUUGUGAGUUUAUGUUGGCUGCCAUUCUAUUUGUAGGCUUUCUUUUAAAGCCUGGAUUAAAGGGUACCUUUCUCAAGGGAUGAUAUUUGU
rnacentral:lncRNA from 1 species